CCCUCCCUGUGGCUUCUCCCUCUCCGUUUCUAAUCCCACUGCUCUGACCCUGCGGCGUCUCCUCAGGCUCGGCCCAGCUCCGUGCCCCGAGGUCAUGAGUCAUUCUGGGGAUGGCGGUUUGCGUCUGAAAGGAGCCGUGUGUAAUUUCGGAUUUCGUAGAAGAGAGUCAUCUCCCUUUUAGCUCCUCACCGAUUUCCUGCAUCGUGCCUCGGCGUGCAGCCGUCAGAGUUUUCCUGUCCCCAUCCCGUGCUGGAGUCACACAGGUUCACAUGCCCCAGAUCAAGAGGGAGCAGGGAGACAGCCAGUCCCAGCUGUCAGGUUUUUGAGGUGAACUAAACACUUAAAGGCUCAGCUGGUCCAGUGCUUCCAUCUAGAGAAAAGUCAUGGAAACAAAGAACACUCUUCAAUGGAAUCAAGGACACCAAUUAAAGGACUACUCACACAACUCCACAGAAGCCUGCAGUUGCUAAGGAGGGAUAGAAAGCCAGAGGCACCAGGCAUUUAAGGGAAGGAAAGGCUGAGUGUUUAGACAAAGAAAAAAAAUUCACUUCAGCUGAGCUGUGCUGGAAGACAACCCACAACAUUUUCUAGAAGUCUCCAAUUCCUCCUUCUCAGUCAGUAAAGGAUCAAGUUAAAUUUCCAUUCAUUAUACUUAUGCACAGGAAGAAGAAAUAUUCUUCUGAGCAAGUAAGAAACAUGAAAUCUUUUUUGAAUCUCUUUUCAGUCCUCUUUCCCAAAUUCUCUUCAUGCAGCAAUUUUUCUUGCUACAUCUCCAAUCUCCCCUGCUAUAAUCUCCACACCUACAAGCCCAGCAAUAAAAAUUCAUUUUUAUUUUGUUCAAAUUAUUUCAAUUUGGUUCAAAUUUUUCUAAAAAAACUGGUCUGUAUCAAAAAAAACCUGCUCUGUUCCCCCAGGCUUAGCUGGGUUUCAUCUGCUGACCAGUGCAAGGUAUUUUGAAAUGCCAGAUGGGAGAACCUGCAACUAGCACAGAACUUUAAGAACAUAAAAGAGAUCCAUUUUUUUUACAUUCUCUACAGGAGAUUUUGUUUACCCCCAGACUUGGCCAUCUCCACAAAAUGAGAGCAAGCAAUAGAAAAAAAAAAAAUCUUUCAACAUGUCUAGUCAAAACAGUUAUCCAGUAUCACUCAAUAGGAACAAAAGAUCUUACCAGUAGGUGAAAGCCACCAGAAGGUUCUAAAAAUUAAUUAUUGGAUAAUGAAAUAUCAAUUAAAGUUCUCUAAAUACUCAUUUUUGAACAGCAUUUUUUAAAUUGUUUGGGAUAUUUUUCCUGGCCAGUUUUUCCUCAGAAGAUCAAACCUUUACCAAGCAGGACCAUGAGCUGUGUACUGAGUACACCCAAAUCAUGCCAGUGCAACUGAUGUGCAACAUUUCCAUGUCUCAUUGUUUCACUUGAAAGUGAAUCUGAAUAUGUUUAUUUCUACAAGUUAAAUUUUGUUUCUGGAUAAUAUUAUCUAGAUACACAUUAUAUAUAUAUAUAUAUAUAUAUCUCCAACGGUUUAACACCUCAAUGGACUGAGGAAGGACAACUUCACCAUGAGAAAGUUUACCUGUCUCGUUUAUU